rnacentral:tRNA from 1 species
UUAGGAUUUAUAACUAGGAAGUAGUGUAGUGGAAGCACUAAGAGUUUUGAUCUCUUAAGGUAGGGUUCAAGCCCCUUCUUUCUAA